GCAUCGGUAGUUCAGUGGUAAAAUGCUCCCGGCCCGGGUUCGAUUCCAGGCCGAUGCA
rnacentral:tRNA from 1 species